UACGAAGGGUGCAAGCGUUACUCGGAAUUACUGGGCGUAAAGCGUGCGUAGGUGGUUCGUUAAGUCUGAUGUGAAAGCCCUGGGCUCAACCUGGGAAUGGCAUUGGAAACUGGCGAUCUAGAGUGCGGUAGAGGGUAGUGGAAUUCCCGGUGUAGCAGUGAAAUGCGUAGAGAUCGGGAGGAACAGCUGUGGCGAAGGCGACUGCCUGGACCAGCACUGACACUGAGGCACGAAAGCGUGGGGAGCAAACAGG
rnacentral:rRNA from 1 species